rnacentral:lncRNA from 1 species
GAGCAGAGGGUGGUCAGCCAGGCAGGCGGACGACCAUCCGGAAGGGACAAGGACCUGAGGGUGGGCUGGGGGGAGGGGGUUGUGGAAGGGGACAGGAACCUGGCUGAGGACCCAAUGCAACUCACAGCCCUCUACUUUAUCUGCAACUCACAGCCCUCUACUUCUACAGUGGCUCUGAUGCAUUUGUUCAUUCAAUUUGAUGAGAAUCUGGACCAGAUCCAGCAGGGUGGACACCGGGGGGAAGGCACCGAGCAGAACAGCCAGGAGGGCCCAGCCGCGCUGCCUCUGCUGCUCGUCCGGCUGGUGCCAGAGCUGGGCUGCGAGCUGACUGAAGAGCUCGUUGCGCAGCCCUGGCCGGCGCUGCCCCUGCCGCACCAGACACAGCCGCGGGGGAGCCCCAAGGGAGCACGCGCCCUGCGAGAGGAAGAGGGGCCGGUGAGGAAAACCAUCUUAAAAAUACAUCUCGGGGGGCUUCCCUGGUGGCGCAGCGGUUAAGAACUCGCCUGCCAGUGUAGGAGGCACGGGUUCGAGCCGUGGUCAGGGAAGAUCCCACAUGCCGCGGAGCAGCUAAGUCUGUGCACCACAACUGCUGAGCCUGCGCUCUCUAGAGCCCGCGAGCCACAACUACUGAAGCCCGCGUGCCUAGAGCCCGUGCUCCGCAACAAGAGAAGCCACCGCAAUGAGAAGCCCGCACACUGCAACGAAGAGUAGCCCCCGCUCACCGCAAAUAGAGAAAGCUGCGUGCAGCAACAAAGACCCAAUGCAGCCAAAAAUAAAUAAAUAAAUAAAUUUAUUAAAAGAAAAAUACAUCUUGGGACUUCCCUGGUGGUCCAGCGGUUAAAAGUCCCACGCUCCCAAUGCAGGGGGCUGGGGUUUGAUCCCUGGUCAGGGAACUAGAUCCUGCAUGCCACAACUAAAAAGGGUCCCGCAUGCUGCAACUAAAGAUCCUGCACAGGCAACGAAGAUCCCGUGUGCCGCAGCUAAGACCUGGCGCAGCCAAAUAAAUAAAUAAAUAUUAAGAAAAAAAAACCUCUCAAUCACUCCUUCUGAUUAGAAAACUAAAGCUCGUGCAUGCGGAAAACUCAGAAAACACGGAAAAGGGUGAAGAAUAAAAACCACCAUUAACAUUCCACUGCCAGAUAAAACCACAG